UGGGGAAUAUUGGACAAUGGGGGCAACCCUGAUCCAGCCAUGCCGCGUGUGUGAAGAAGGCCUUUUGGUUGUAAAGCACUUUAAGCAGUGAAGAAGACUCCAUGGUUAAUACCCAUGGACGAUGACAUUAGCUGCAGAAUAAGCACCGGCUAACUCUGUGCCAGCAGCCGCGGUAAUACAGAGGGUGCAAGCGUUAAUCGGCAUUACUGGGCGUAAAGCGAGCGUAGGUGGCUUGAUAAGUCAGAUGUGAAAGCCCCGGGCUUAACCUGGGAACGGCAUCUGAUACUGUUAGGCUAGAGUAGGUGAGAGGAAGGUAGAAUUCCAGGUGUAGCGGUGAAAUGCGUAGAGAUCUGGAGGAAUACCGAUGGCGAAGGCAGCCUUCUGGCAUCAUACUGACACUGAGGUUCGAAAGCGUGGGUAGCAAACA
rnacentral:rRNA from 1 species